rnacentral:rRNA from 1 species
AUACGGAGGGUGCGAACGUUGCUCGGAAUCAUUGGGCGUAAAGCGCGCGUAGGCGGCUUGGUCAGUCGGAUGUGAAAGCCCUGGGCUUAACCUGGGAAUUGCAUUCGAUACUGCCAGGCUGGAAUGUAGUAGAGGGUAGUGGAAUUCCGGGUGUAGCGGUGAAAUGCGUAGAUAUCCGGAGGAACAUCAGUGGCGAAGGCGACUACCUGGACUAACAUUGACGCUGAGGUGCGAAAGCGUGGGGAGCAAACAGGAUUAGAAACCCCGGUAGUCC